GCAUGGAAACAUUAAGUUGGGGGAUGAUGCCUUACGCUAGGUGCUAUCAUUUUGGGAGUUGAAGAUAAGGAAGGAGUUAGAGACCAGGCUCCAGCUUCUGAAAAGCCAUUCAACAAAGACAGAUUCUUAUUUCUGCAAAUUAAUCAUGUUUCUCCAAUUGGGAGCCAGGGCUGUUGGGAAUAAAGUUCCCACUAUGGAGGGUUGUCUUCUGUGCCUACCACAGGUCCUGGCAUUCAGCAGGCCCUCAGUUACUGAAUGAUGAGAACCCACACCUGGGGAGGUGCAUAAGAAGUUGUACCAAAGAAGCCUCCACUACGUCUGGACUCCACAGAUAAGGAAAAUUCUGGACUUAUAGUUUGAUGUCAAGACU